UCCAGCCCAGCUGCAAGCAGAAAUUUCAGAGUUAUCAAGUUUCAGUAAGAAUUUGUAAAUGCUGAGCCAAGGUAUCAACCAUGUUUUCAAGGAUUGAAAAGAUAGACAGUAGCUUUUUCAAAAUGCAUCUGUUUUUAGAACUGUGACAGCUUAGGACAAUUGCAAUAUCACCAAUUGGAGCACUAACUAAUAUAUGCAGCAAAUCCAUAAAAUUUACUAUUGCAACAAGGUUGCAAAGCUCUGUAUUCUGUAAUGGUGGAGAUGUUCUUUUUUUCUGGUAAUAGCUUGAUACCCCUAUAAAGACUGACAAGAGUGGGUUUAGAUUCCUAGAAAUUGAUAUUACCUCAGUGCCCCAUUCAGUUUUAUCUUCGUACCCACAACUGAUAACAUGGAUGGCUUCUUUCAGCAGGGCUGCUGGACUUGAAGAGGGGGGUACACCACCCUGGUCCAUCAAAGUUGAAGUUGUGAAUAUCGCUGACUGCCCAAACUUCUCGAAAUUUAUCUGGGACUUCAAUAGCUCCUUGUCAUCAUCCACUCCUAUUCAAGAGGGCAAGA
rnacentral:lncRNA from 1 species